rnacentral:piRNA from 1 species
UGGCAAAGUUGCAAAGGUAGA